UACGGAGGGGGGCUAGCGUUGUUCGGAAUUACUGGGCGUAAAGCGCACGUAGGCGGCUUUGUAAGUUAGAGGUGAAAGCCCGGGGCUCAACUCCGGAAUUGCCUUUAAAACUACAUCACUAGAAUUGUGGAGAGGUAAGUGGAAUUCCGAGUGUAGAGGUGAAAUUCGUAGAUAUUCGGAAGAACACCAGUGGCGAAGGCGACUUACUGGACACAUAUUGACGCUGAGGUGCGAAAGCGUGGGGAGCAAACAGG
rnacentral:rRNA from 1 species